ACGGCCAUAUGUUGAAACACCGGUUCUCGUACGAUCACCGAAGUUAAGCAACGUCGAGUCUAGCCAGUACCUAGAUGGACAAUCGCUUAGGAAUAGCUGGUGCUGUAA